CAAGUCGAGCGAGAAAGGGUAGCAAUACCUGAGUAAAGCGGCGCACGGGUGAGUAACACGUGGAUAACCUGCCUCAAAGUGGGGGAUAACACCGGGAAACCGGUGCUAAUACCGCAUAUUCUGACGAGAUCUGCGGAUUUUGUCUGGAAAGGAGCAAUUCGCUUUGAGAGGGGUCCGCGGCUGAUUAGCUAGUUGGUGAGGUAAUGGCUCACCAAGGCAACGAUCAGUAGCCGGUCUGAGAGGACGGUCGGCCACACUGGAACUGAGACACGGUCCAGACUCCUACGGGAGGCAGCAGUGGGGAAUUUUUGGCAAUGGGGGCAACCCUGACCAAGCAACGCCGCGUGGAUGAUGAAGUAUCUCGGUACGUAAAAUCCUUUCGACGGGGACGAAACCGCAAGGUUGACGGUACCCGUAGAAGAAGCCCCGGCUAACUCCGUGCCAGCAGCCGCGGUAAUACGGGGGGGGCAAGCGUUGUUCGGAAUUACUGGGCGUAAAGGGCGCGUAGGCCGCUUGUUAAGUCGGGUGUGAAAACUCUGGGCUCAACCCAGAGCCUGCAUUCGAAACUGACGAGCUAGAGUUCUGGAGGGGAAAGCGGAAUUCCUGGUGUAGCAGUGAAAUGCGUAGAUAUCAGGAGGAACACCGGUGGCGAAGGCGGCUUUCUGGACAGAAACUGACGCUGAUGCGCGAAAGCUAGGGGAGCAAACAGGAUUAGAUACCCUGGUAGUCCUAGCCCUAAACGAUGGAUACUUGCUGUGAGGGGGAUUGAAUCCCUUCGUGGCGAAGCUAACGCAUUAAGUAUCC
rnacentral:rRNA from 1 species